rnacentral:rRNA from 1 species
UCCGGAGGGCGCACUCGUUGUUCGGAAUCACUGGGCGUAAAGCGCGUGUAGGCGGCUUGGUAAGUCGGGUGUGAAAGCCCGGGGCCUAACCCCGGAACUGCACUCGAAACUGCCUCGCGCGAGUCCCGGAGAGGAUGGUGGAAUUCCCGGUGUAGUGGUGAAAUACGUAGAUAUCGGGAGGAACACCAGCGGCGAAGGCGGCCAUCUGGACGGUGACUGACGCUGAGACGCGAAAGCGUGGGGAGCAAACAGG